AUGACACUGAAGUCCUUUCUCCAAAGAGAUCUCCAAUCAGAUACACGCGCUUCACUACAAAAGAAACCAGGCUGGCCCUGUUAAGCAGGGAUUAUGAGAUUCGGUCUAUAAUAGACAGCCUGCCCUAUUGAGGUCAGGACACAGAAACAAACGGGGAAGACCAUGUAAAGACACGGGGAGAGGCUGCCGUCUAGAACCCAAGGAGGCCCCAGAAUCAGCCCUGAUGAUGCCCUGAAUCCCAACCUCUGGCCAGCAUCCUGGCCAGGGUUCCCCAGAGGACCACAGAGAGGCAUCGUUCCCACUCUUCUGGGAGCAACCCCAGUUCGUACUUUAGGACACAAGGACCCAUCGCCUCCCGCAGGAAGCCUUCUGGCCUCGCUCUGCCCCUGGCAUCCCCAGGGGUUCAGCCCGCGGGCGCCUCCUCUGCCUGCACCACCUCACUCCUUACAGUGUGGCGGUGACCAGCUGCCCGCGCGGGAUGAAGGGCAGGUGUUGGGGAAAAUAUCAGCCUUUCUCUGCUUCACAGCCAACAUGGAACACAAAAGACUCCUGUGACAAGAGUGCAAGCCCCCCCCCCCAGCAAGCAGUGACUCUAGAGCAGGGGAAACCCGCAGGCCCCCGACCCAGCUGGGUUCUGACAAAGAUCCUGCCUGGGGAGGGCUCUGACCUGGUCUCCACCCCGCAGAUGCUGCCUCAGGCCUCGGGCGAUUCACCUCUGCUCCUGCUCAGCCUGCAGUGGGUCAGGCUCCCAUCUGACUCAUUUGUUCAGCGGCCCCUAGAACUCAGCGAAACACCUAUGUUAACCUGGUUAUUAUCGAAGCUCUUAUAAAAGGUGUAGAUGGAGAAAUGCACAGGGCGAGGCAUAAGGGAGAAACUUGGGGCCGCCAAGCUGUCUCCAGGAUCACCGCCCUCCAUUUGCUCAGACGCUCUCUGAAUCCUGUCCUCUGGGGUGUUUUGUUUUGCUUUAUCUUACUGUGUCCCCCAUGCUGGUCUCGAACUCUUGAGCGCAAGAGAUCCUUCUGCCUCAGCCUCCUGACCAGCUCAGACUUCCAGCAGGCUCACCACUGGUGCCAGGCCCUUGAGGUAUGUAUGGAGACCCCACUGCAUGGGCAACAUGCACUAGCAGACUGGCUGGGACCCCAGCAAGGCCUCUGCACAGCCUGCCCCCCUCCAGGGCAUGGGCAGGACCCUGUGGGAAGGGGAGGCUCUCUCACCUACUACAGGACAAGGUCGGUCAGAGAAGUUCUUUACGGCCAGCUCCACGACAGAAAGGUUGGGGAAAUUAGUGCUCAUUGUGAGGGAAACACCUUUCUAGUUCCUACUGUCUCCGUGAGAAGGGAGACCUGGAUUUAGCUUCUGGAAACUCCCCUGGAACUUUCCCAGUGGCUGCAGUGCCCCCAGGCCACCAGCCUAGACAACUUCCUUCCUCAAUACCAUACACCCGGGCCAGGCUGCCCCAGAGAUCUGGCCCAAGCUCUGUUGCCACAUGAGGACUGCUCCAGGCCUUCCCAGAUGAAUACAUCACCUGGGGAAUGUUCUACCUUGUCAUGGUGCCCAGUGGGGGGAAAGUGGAAUAAAUUAUUCCAGGCUGAUGCCUUCUUCUCUCUCUAAUAAACCCCAGUUUCCAAAGUAUAAUUAAAAGGAAAAUAUUAGAGCACAAAUAGCAUUAUACCACUGAACUGCUGUGUGUGGUGGACUUUCCUCUCUAAAUCCACCUCAGUAGGCAAUUUAACAAUAGGCAGAAUCUCAAUGGGAGUUCAACAGAUGAAAUUAACACAGCACACAGCUCUGGACCGAAGUGUUUCUUUGCCCAUGUAAUUGCUUGCAGCUGCCCUUGUGUAAAAGCCCCCAUCAGAUUAUAGGAUUUGUUGUAUGUAAAUUGAAGACUAAAUGGUUGGUAGCACCUUUCAGCUCCGCAAUGCUGGAAAUGAGUUUUUUAAUAGGAAAUUAGAUUAGUAAUAUUUUAGUCAACAAAAAUGUGGAAAAAUUCUGCAUAAAGAUGAGAAAAUUAUUCAUGCAAGAAGACUUUUAGAAUCAAGAGUGAACAAUUGUUGAAAUUUGUGAAUGGUGGGCCACAAAAGAAUCUCUGUAUGCUUCCCCUGGCCAAGGUCCAGGGCAGAAAAAAAAAUGAUUUUCUUCAUACCUUUAUCACACAAUUCCACCACAAUUAA
rnacentral:lncRNA from 1 species